rnacentral:rRNA from 1 species
AGUGGAUGGGGAGCAACCUAGUUGUGCGUGUGUAAAGGUAGUGCCAAGAAAAGCGGUGAUCAUGAUGAAAAUCAAUUCCCGGUACCCGAAACCGACACAGGUGGGCAAGUAGAGAAUACUAAGGGGCGCGAGGUAACUCUCUCCAAGGAACUCGGCAAAAUGACCCCGUAACUUAGGGAGAAGGGGUGCCACCGAGAGGUGGUCGCAGUGAAGAGGCCCAGGCGACUGUUUAGCAAAAACAUAGGUCUCUGCAAACUCGAAAGAGGAGGUAUAGGGGCUGACGCCUGCCCAGUGCCGGAAGGUUAAAGAAGUUGGUCAGUCAUAGGAUAAAGCUAGCGACUGAAGCCCCGAUGAACGGCGGCCGUAACUAUAACGGUCCUAAGGUAGCGAAAUUCCUUGUCGGGUAAGUUCCGACCCGCACGAAAGGCGUAACGAUCUGGGCGCUGUCUCGGAGAGAGGCUCGGCGAAAUAGGAUUGUCUGUGAAGAUACGGACUACCUGCAUUUGGACAGAAAGACCCUAUGAAGCUUUACUAUAGCUUGGAAUUGUGUUCGGGCUUCCUGUGCGCAGGAUAGGUGGGAGGCGAAGAAGGUAUUCUUGUGGGGAUACUGGAGCCAACGGUGAGAUACCACUCUCAGGAGGCCAGAAUUCUAACUUAAUUAAGGACAGUUUCAGGUGGGUAGUUUGACUGGGGCGGUCGCCUCCAAAAAGGUAACGGAGGCGUACAAAGGUUCCCUCAGACUGGUUGGAAAUCAGUCGCAGAGUGCAAAGGCAGAAGGGAGCUUGACUGCGAGAAGUACAGUUCGAGCAGGGUGGAAACACGGUCUUAGUGAUCCGACGGUGCUGUGUGGAAGGGCCGUCGCUCAACGGAUAAAAGUUACUCUAGGAUAACAGGCUGAUCUCCCCCAAGAGUUCACAUCGACGGGGAGGUUUGGCACCUCGAUGACGGCUCAUCGCAACCUGGGGCGGAAGUACGUCCCAAGGGUUGGGCUGUUCGCCCAUUAAAGCGGUACGUGAGCUGGGUUCAGAACGUCGUGAGACAGUUCGGUCCAUAUCCGAUGUAGGCGUGAGAAUAUUGAGAGGAGCCUUCCUUAGUACGAGAGGACCGGGAAGGACGCACCGCUGGUGUACCUGUUAUGAUGCCAAUUGUAAACGCAGGGUAGCCAAGUGCGGAGAGGAUAACCGCUGAAAGCAUCUAAGUGGGAAGCCCACCUCAAGAUGAGUAUUCUGGUGUAAGGUCACGGGAAGACGACCCGUAAAUAGGCACGAGGUGGAAGUGCAGAGAUGUAUGAAGCCGAAGUGUACUAAUAGACCGUCGGCUUGAC